GACGAACGCUGGCGGCGUGCUUAACACAUGCAAGUCGAACGGAAAGGCCCUGCUUUUGUGGGGUGCUCGAGUGGCGAACGGGUGAGUAACACGUGAGUAACCUGCCCUUGACUUUGGGAUAACUUCAGGAAACUGGGGCUAAUACCGGAUAGGAGCUCCUGCUGCAUGGUGGGGGGUGGAAAGUUUCGGCGGUUGGGGAUGGACUCGCGGCUUAUCAGCUUGUUGGUGGGGUAGUGGCUUACCAAGGCUUUGACGGGUAGCCGGCCUGAGAGGGUGACCGGCCACAUUGGGACUGAGAUACGGCCCAGACUCCUACGGGAGGCAGCAGUGGGGAAUAUUGCACAAUGGGCGGAAGCCUGAUGCAGCAACGCCGCGUGCGGGAUGACGGCCUUCGGGUUGUAAACCGCUUUCGCCUGUGACGAAGCGUGAGUGACGGUACUGGGUAAAGAAGCACCGGCUAACUACGUG
rnacentral:rRNA from 1 species